AAUAGUACAGUUUAGGUAUUACAGUUAGGAUUUUUAUUACCUUUUACCUUUGUGCAUACCACGAGUAGAUGUGGGCUUGCAAUUAUCUCUUUUACCUUUUAGCAUACCCUAUACUAUGCGUAUAGUGCGCUUGCUAGUAUCUUUACCUAGAUUGUGUCUUCCUAUCGCUACGAAAGCAAGUAGACGUUAUGAAUUAUCUUUUACCUUGAGUUUUAGAUGUUGAUAUCCGGAACCAUAUCAUAUAUGUUUAGGUUUGUAGUAAUGUAGUUUUAACUGGUCCUAAUGAAUUAGUCCCUCAUUGAAUUCUGGGGUGAUUAAUAGAAUUUGUUCGCUCUAGUGUCAAUGUUGGGUAAAGUUAAUAGGAUGCGUUUAGGUUAAUUGUUGUUUAUGGUUCUUAGUUAUAUUGUGUUAAGGGUUGUUAAUACACACCUGUAAUUUAGUUUUAAUCAUGGGUUUACUAACACUUGAGAAUGUAGAUAGUAAGUAGUGUUAAGAGUUAACUUACUCUAUAAGGUUGUAUAAUUAUAUUUAGAAUGUUAGUGAUUAACGCGUAAUUAUUUGUUUUUCUCUAUCUUUGGUUUUACUAAAUUAAAGUAAAUUAUCUUGUUGAAUAACUUAUGUCAGUCAGUUACGUAUGUCGGUUAGUUACACAUCCCUUCUAUGUUCUAUACUUUCUGCAAAUACCAUUAAAGAUAUCUCGCGUGGCCUCUAUACUGUCUGUAUGACUUCGUCCUGAUUUUUGUUCUGUCUCCUCAGCAAAUAGUAUGGCGGUUGAGCCUACCAUAAUUAUGGUUUUGUACCACAACGUUUCUCCUUUACCGUGUCCAUCCUCAGGUUCGCCUAGCGUCAGUUAGUUCUGGAAAAUAAACAAAAAAGGAAACUUGUAGAGUUUUCCUUUUUUUGCUGGAGAAGAGGGAGAAUGUAGCGAUCACGCUACUAAUUAAAUUAAUUUAAUUAAAAUUGGAUUAAAAUAUACCCCUCUACAAAAUCCUUGGGUGACGCCCGCGAAGAUCCAACAACGAUUUUUUCGGUGCACAGGCGCGCCAAUAGAAAGAAAAUCGAUGAUUGUCGAUUUCUAGUUUAGUUGGUCACGAACUCACAAAGAGGCAACACAUCGUCAUUACUUAGGUGACGGAGUUUGGGCAAAAUUGGGAAAAUAUAUAACUAAAAGACCUCGAACAUCAGCCAAUAACCCAUACUAAUAAUAAUCAAGCAGUAGUUAUAUCUGGAGACUUAUUUACAAGAAAGGAAAAAGGUUAUAAUACCGCCGAUGUGUUGCUUUGCUCAAAUUCCGUCCCGUAGCUACUUGUCACAUAGACACUUAGCCUAGUCAAUUUAUAUAGAUUGUAUCAUCAUUUAAUGUGCCAUCAUAUAAAUAUGUGCCAGUUACUGUAAGCAGCUAGGGUAUGGGUUACCCCUAGAGUUACUUUUGAUUGGAUUGGAUAGUACCUAUUUCACAACAUCCAGGAUUGGAUUUAUCACCACAGCAGCCCACUAGUUUUUGCCGUGCCAAGAGGAAAUUCAUUCCUAUCUGGACCUUUUUAAAUAGGACUUGUGGUUAAGAUAAGUUGUUUAAUCUUAUUAUUUACAUAUUUUGGGUACUCUAUAGUUGCUUGCACUGUAAACUUCUUGUAUGCAUACAAUUGAGGUAAACUAGGUACAUAUUUCUUGAUAGAUAGGGUUUUAGGUCGUUGGUUUUUUUUUAAUUUAAUAGAAGUAGUAGUUUCCAAUAAAUAAAAUUAGGUCUUGUUCAAUAAUCAUUAUAAAUAAAAAUUGUAGCUUAAAAAUUUGAUCGGGAAGGGGUCGUUAAAGGUUUGUCGCGGAUUUCAAAUAGGGAAUAUGUCUUGUAGGUUUUUACAUUGUAUAUAAAGAGUAACUGACCAACUCAUUUAUAUAACUCAUUUAUAUCACUCAUUUAUAUAACUCAUUUAUAUAACUCAUUAUAUAUUUACUUAUUAGUGUUUUUGCUAGGUGAGAUCUUUAUUAUUUUUGGUAACCGUAGCGUUCUUGUUGUGGAUCUCACUCUAGCGUAGUUCAAUUUAGGAAAUAAUUACUAACUUUUUAGUUGUAAGGACUUAGUGCUAUUCUGACGGACUUUUGCUUUGGAUUUUGAUUUUAAUACCUUUGCUUGGCCAGUGAUAGUGGAUAAUUGCUUGUUAAGUGGCCUUUGCGGUCCUAUUUGAUCUUUUCCCCAUCCACUAUCACUGUUAUCACGUUGCGUUAUAUGUAAAUUGUUAGUAUUUAACAUUUGUUAUUAAUAUAUUUGUAUGUAUUAA
rnacentral:lncRNA from 1 species